CGGAGAGCAACCAAUCAGUGUCAGCGGAGGAACUUCAGAGUUGGAGCUGCAGGGUGCGAGUUUCAGAGAGCGAUUUUGGCUUUUACGCACAGAGGUCGCGCGUCUUUCCGCGAAAAUACGCGCCGUGUGUUUUGAUUUUUGUUCAUGCCUCUGCCUCCGUGCCCCCUCCUGUGAAAGAAUAUAGGCUCCGGGAUGUACACCGCCGGUCUCAACCCGUUUUACGCAUCAAAUUUUAGCCUCUGGUCCGCGUACUGCGCCGGAGGCUUCGCUGUGGAUACAAUGAAGAAGCCGUCCUUCUGCAUUGCAGACAUUUUACAGGCAGGAGAUGCGGAGAACAUCCCGGGAUCAUCUGCCCUCAUGGUGCACAUGGCACACCCCCACCACCACCACCAUCACCACCACCGCGCUCAGCAGGCGCACUCCGGCAGCUCCCCUCUGCGUCCGUCCCCCGUUGCGCCGGACUCGUCGGUCUUUGGUGCGCGCGUGAGUCCGGCGUCUCCGUACCACAGACACGGACUACAAGUGACCAGAACUGCGUUUAACUCCCAGCAAGGACCACCGACAUCAAGCAAAGACCUCAAAUUUGGAAUUGAUCGAAUAUUAUCCACGGAUUUUGAUCCAAAAAGCAAAGAAAAGUCGUCGUUAAGAGAUCUCACAUCUAUCGUUAGCUCGAACCGUCAGUCAGGUAUCCAAAUCCCCGUUCCACCUCCGGCCAGCCAGUACUUCUCCUCCAUAGACCCCGGGAUGAGCGACGCGUCCUCCAUGAUGAGUUCACUAGGCAGCAGCAGCAGCAGACACUCAGGCCAGCAUCAGUUUCAGGACACCUUUCCAGGGCCGUAUGCCGUCCUCACCAAAGACACAAUGCCUCAGACCUACAAGAGGAAGAGGUCUUGGUCCAGGGCCGUGUUCUCAAACCUGCAGAGGAAAGGGCUGGAGAAGAGAUUUGAAAUUCAGAAGUACGUCACCAAACCUGACAGAAAGCAGCUGGCAGCCAUGCUGGGCCUUACAGAUGCUCAGGUGAAGGUGUGGUUCCAGAACAGACGCAUGAAGUGGAGACACUCCAAAGAGGCCCAGGCUCAGAAGGACAAGGAGAAGGAGUCGAAGCCGGACAAAAGCCUGUCGGAGGCGGGCAGCAGAGAGCCCAAGGAGCCGCUGGAGUCUGAAUGUGAGAGCGAGGGCCGGAGCGAGUGCGAAUCCGAGGAGGCCGAGGAGGAGGAUGAGGAGGAGGCGGAGGAGGAAGAAGGGAGCGCAGAUGGACAUUUGGACAUUUCUGACCACAACAAAACCAGCGUGAUCAUGAGCGGGAGCGCGCAGGCCAAUUGCGCAGACGCGGCGCAGGCGGUCACGGACACAGCGGCCGCGCAGGUGCUCAUAUGAAGUUCAGAACAAUAGGAGGAAGAGAUUAUUUUCUAUUUUUUUUUUUCACAAAUCGAGGACAAAAAUCGAAAGAGUGGAUCCUCAUCCAAACCAGGAUUCUCCACUGACACUCCAGAAAAUUCCUCCCGAAGAAUCUGCAGGCAGGCAGGCAGGAUGGUGUGAGAUGACAGACUGAGUCACGCCGUUGUUUAUCCUUCUGAGUAUAAAUAUAUAUCAGAGCUGCAGUGUCUGGAAGAAAACAUUCAAAAUAAUUAUUGUAUAUAUCUGUGACAGCUCGCCUCUGCUAUUAAGAGGUUUGUUGAUGGAAAAUGAAGCCUGCAGAAGUUUUAUGGGUAAACAAAACCGGUGUGGGGUUUAUAUAAAAUAAACAACUGUUGUGCUGCUUAACCAAACGUCUUAAAGAGCAAUUGGUGGAAGAAGAGUUUUUAGAAGGAGUGAAAAAAUAACCCACAAAAGGGAAAGUCAAAAAGAAAUGAAAGUUAUAAUUAUUUCCCAUUAAAAACAAAAACUUGCACGUGUUUCUGUUCAUAUAUAGGAUUCAAAUCCAUCAUGAAUUACAAAAAAAGUUAUUUUUUACUUUUUCUUUAAUUAAAUCUUGCACAAUAUAAAAAAUAGAAAUGUGUAUUGUUUUAUUAUUAUUUACUAUUUACAAUACAAAAAGUUUUAAAAAUUCAAUUA